rnacentral:rRNA from 1 species
UCCUACGGGACGCAGCAGUGGGGAAUAUUGGGCAAUGGAGGCAACUCUUACCCAGCAAUGCCGCGUGAAUGAAGAAGGUCUUCGGAUUGUAAAGUUCUUUAAUUGGGGACGAAAAAAAUGACGGUACACAAGGAAUAAGCCCCGGCUAACUACGUGCCAGCAGCCGCGGUAAUACGUAGGGGGCAAGCGUUGUUCGGAAUGACUGGGCGUAAAGGGAGUGUAGGCGGUGGAGCAAGGUGGAAGCGAAAUAGCUAGAGCUUAACUCAGGUGCUGCUUCUAAAACUGCUAUACUUGAGUUUAGUAGG